rnacentral:tRNA from 4 species
GGGUCUGUAGCUCAGCUGGUUAGAGCACCGUCUUGAUAAGGCGGGGGUCGUAGGUUCAAGUCCUACCAGACCCACCA